GCCGAAGUGGUGGAAUCUGGUAGACACGCUAUCUUGAGGGGGUAGUGUCCGAUAGGACGUGGGGGUUCAAAUCCCCCCUUCGGCACGA
rnacentral:tRNA from 1 species